CAAUAGCGUAUAUUAAAGUUGUUGCAGUUAAAAAGCUCGUAGUUGGAUUUCUGGUGGGAGCGAUCGGUCUGGCGCUUAGCGCGAGUACUUGCAUCGUCUCCGGCCAUCCUUGGGGAGAGUCUGUCUGGCAUUAAGUUGUCGGGCAGAGGAUCCUCAUCGUUUACUGUGAAAAAAUUAGAGUGUUCAAAGCAGGCGUAUGCCGUUGAAUAUAUUAGCAUGGAAUAAUAAGAUAGGACUUUGGUACUAUUUUGUUGGUUUGCGCACCAAAGUAAUGAUUAAUAGGGACAGUUGGGGGUAUUCGUAUUCCGUUGUCAGAGGUGAAAUUCUUGGAUUUACGGAAGACGAACUACUGCGAAAGCAUUUACCAAGGAUGUUUUCAUUAA
rnacentral:rRNA from 1 species